UGCUCAGAUUCACAUUCUGAGUCAUCUCAAUGGCAUUUACCCUAUGGCAGGCCAGGUCUCUUGCUGUUUUGUUUUAGAAUGACUGGUUUCCAUAGGGUUUUUCUCCCUCCCUCUUGAGUAUUGGAAGCUCUCAAGUUCUUCGAAGAACCAGUUCAUGACUUCUCAACUGGAUGCUGAGCAGAAGAAACACUCACCUCUCCAUGGACCUAAUCCAAACUGUGAAUCUUUGUUUUUCCUGGACCAAACUAAAGUGAACUUCAUUCCUGUCUGAUCUUUCCCCAUCUUCAAAAGUGGAAGCACUGGAAGCUCCUUUGUUCAAGGUAAGUGAACCAGAUAUCUGCACUGAAUAUUUGUUUCUUUUAUAUUUUAAUUGAUACAGACAUAGAUGGUCUUCUUAUGAGAUUGCAUACAAAACAAUGUUCAAAAUAAGCAUAGAUUCAUAGCUAAGAUUCAGAGAAGGAACUGAAAAUACAUGACUGAUGUUUAAACUCUG
ensembl:lncRNA